UACGUAGGGAGCAAGCGUUGUCCGGAAUCAUUGGGCGUAAAGCGCGCGUAGGUGGCUUCGUAAGUCCGUUGUGAAAGUCAAAGGCUCAACCUUUGAAAGCCGAUGGAUACUGUGAAGCUAGAGUACGGAAGAGGCGAGUGGAAUUCCUGGUGUAGCGGUGGAAUGCGCAGAUAUCAGGAGGAACACCGGUGGCGAAGGCGGUUCUCUGGGCAUUACCUGACGCUGAGGAGCGAAAGCGUGGGGAGCAAACAGG
rnacentral:rRNA from 1 species